UGGGGAAUCUUGGACAAUGGGGGCAACCCUGAUCCAGCCAUGCCGCGUGAGCGAUGAAGGCCUUAGGGUUGUAAAGCUCUUUCACCGGGGAAGAUAAUGACGGUACCCGGAGAAGAAGCCCCGGCUAACUCCGUGCCAGCAGCCGCGGUAAUACGGAGGGGGCUAGCGUUGUUCGGAAUUACUGGGCGUAAAGCGCACGUAGGCGGAUCAGUCAGUCAGGGGUGAAAUCCCGGGGCUCAACCCCGGAACUGCCUUUGAUACUGCUGGUCUGGAGGAUGAGAGAGGCGAGUGGAAUUCCGAGUGUAGAGGUGAAAUUCGUAGAUAUUCGGAGGAACACCAGUGGCGAAGGCGGCUCGCUGGCUCAUUACUGACGCUGAGGUGCGAAAGCGUGGGGAGCAA
rnacentral:rRNA from 1 species